GGGAUUCCGAGUUCUCUGUGGUCACGGCCACUGGCUGCUCACUGUCUUGAAAACACCAAGAGGCACUGGCAACAAGGAGGCCACGAUGAUCAAGAGACAGUGUGGACCAGACACCCCUGCCACAUCAGAGUAUGCGCUUUCUUCAUGACAUGUACGACUAUCUAAAUUCCAAGCUCAUCUCUUGUCAUCUCUAGUGGAAUUGAGUGCAUGAGACACCUCUGCACGGCUGUAGCUGAGGCCUCGGAUGAGUGCACUGUAACCUACCUCCUGGUCAAGGCUUACUUCCCACCAUUUGGUGUCCACAAUGUUGGCUGGUGCUCACUGUUCACCGAAGUUUGAAGGGAUGAGCCAACAAAGUCUGAACAGACGACAGCGAUGUAAACGUCUGGAGGAAAAGAUGUCAUGGACUUGGAAGUAGCCUUGCUUGGCUCUCCCUUUGGGGGCACUGACAUCUGCCCCGCAGACUCUCUGGAAAUGUUCCAGUCCCAUGGGUGUGUUCUGACUCUACACCAUUGGCAAAGCAGUCCCGCAGCUCAGCAGACAGUGGAGCUCUGGAAGACUGAGGCAGCCAGCCACCUCCGCCAGAGCAGCGAGUGAGUUUUUCCCAUAGUCAGAACCCCAUUCUCUUUUGUGGUGGAGACAGCAUCCAUGACAGCAAUCCUUUCCUCCCUCUAGGGAAGUGAUAGGCUCUAUGUGUAUGUACAUCAGAGUUGCCUAGACACUGUUCUUCUUUCCAAUGCCCCUAUGAACUGGUUCCAGCAUCUUCUUGGUUCCCUUACUGAUUAGUGAAUGAAAUCAAAUCUUAGGUGGAUUUAUUGUAUAUUUGCAUGAGAAUCCUGAUUUGACCUCUAAAAAAAUCAUUCCGUGUCUGUAAGAAUUUGCAUUCACAGCAUGUGGUAUAGAAGUGUAAAAAGAAAAGACAAAAAAAAAAAAUUAAACAUGAGCCCAGCUGCUAAACAAAAGAAACAGCCUUCCGAAUGGACAAGGGGAGAAGCAAAAGUCAGCACUACACGGGUUCACUCCCAGCAGGUCCCUCCUGGCUCAGACUCUGGUCUAGGCUGCUUUGGGGACUGGAGGAGACUCUAUGGGAUUGGCUGUGACUAGGACGGGGUGAUGGGGGCUGAGGUCUGGGUGUUGUCAGACUGAGUAUUGAGCAGAGUAGGUGAUGACUUGAGUAGCUGGAAGUGUCCCUGGGUGCCAUUAUCUACACCUUCCUUUAGGCCUGUGUCAUCAAGUGAGAUCACCAGGUAACCCUUAGUCUAGAGUAUCUGUCACUCAGAACUCCAAGAAGCCCUCAUGACAGAG